UACGUAGGGGGCUAGCGUUGUCCGGAUUUAUUGGGCGUAAAGAGCGCGUAGGCGGCCGUGUAAGUCCGACGUGAAAUCUGGAGGCUCAACCUCCAGCGGUCGUUGGAAACUACCCGGCUAGAGUCCGGAAGAGGAGUGUGGAAUUCCUGGUGUAGCGGUGAAAUGCGCAGAUAUCAGGAAGAACACCGAUGGCGAAAGCAGCUCUCUGGGACGGUACUGACGCUGAGGCGCGAAAGCGUGGGGAGCGAACAGG
rnacentral:rRNA from 1 species